AGAGUUUGAUCCUGGCUCAGAAUGAACGUUGGCGGCGUGGAUUAGGCAUGCAAGUCGAACGGGCCCGGUCGCAAGAUCGGGUCAGUGGCGCAAGGGUGAGUAAGGCGACGGCAACCAACCCCAUGGUUGGGCAUAGCCGCGGGAAACUGCGGGUAAUUCCCAGCGAUGUUCGUGUCGGGCAUCCGAUGUGAACCAAAGUUCCAAUGCCGUGGGACGGGCCGUCGUGGUAUUAGGUUGUUGGCGGGGUAACGGCCCACCAAGCCUGUGAUGCCUACCGGGCGUGCGAGCGUGGCCCGGCACACUGGGACUGAGACACUGCCCAGACUCCUACGGGAGGCUGCAGUCGAGAAUCUUCGGCAAUGGGCGCAAGCCUGACCGAGCGACGCCGCGUGGAGGAUGAAGGCCUUCGGGUUGUAAACUCCUGUCGAGGGGGAGGAAGGCGCAAGCUUGACCUAUCCCUGGAGGAAGCACGGGCUAAGUUCGUGCCAGCAGCCGCGGUAAGACGAACCGUGCGAACGUUAUUCGGAAUCACUGGGCUUAAAGCGCGUGUAGGCGGAUGGGGACGUCGGUCGCUGAAAUCCCCCGGCUCAACCGGGGAACGGGCACCGAAACGCCCCGUCUCGAGGGACGUAGGGGGACCUGGAACUUCCGGUGGAGCGGUGAAAUGCGUUGAGAUCGGAAGGAACGCCCGUGGCGAAAGCGAGGUCCUGGACGUUUUCUGACGCUGAGACGCGAAAGCUAGGGUAGCGAACGGGAUUAGAUACCCCCGUAGUCC
rnacentral:rRNA from 1 species